CCCUGCCCCGGUUCUUCGCGUCCCUCCCCUCUUCCCGCUCCCCCUUCUCGGCCCCCAGCCCCUGACGCCCCCCGAUACCCCUUCCCCAUUCCCCCUUCCCCCUCUUCCGUUCCCCCUUCCCACUGCUCCUCUUUCCCUAUUUCCCCUUUCCCCCUCGCCCCGCUCCCUCCUUCCCCCCCCACUCUCCCUUUCCCUGGUCCUUCCCUCUUGCCCCCUCUCCUUUCUCUCCCCUUCCCUAGGCCAUCACCCUCCUUCUGUUCUUUAUUAUUUCUUUCUUUUAAUUUCUUUAUUUUUUUCUUUCCUUUCUCGCUUUUCUCUCUUUUUUUCUUGCUUAUCCCUCCCGCAGCGGAACGCAGUGCCGCUACCGGGCCGCUGCCGGGGGCGGUGGAGCGGCGCCCGGCGGAGCCCGCAGGUGCUCAAGGAAGAGUCUACCUUGCAGGAGGCUUCUGGGAUCUCUGAGGGAUCAGACAACCCUGCUGGGGAGAAGACACUUACUACGAGGUGCAGCGUCUUCUAACACAGAGGAAGAUAAUGCUGGAUUGGUGAGCUGCUAUUAAUGCAUAUGGAAAUCAGUGUGUGAGACAGAUAAUUAAAGGCUGAAGUAGUCCAAGAGAAGCAGGUGAUAUGGGUAACAGCAAAGGUCUCUUUUCCUGAUGUCUGAAUUGGUCUCCUCAGACCUUUUGCCAUUCUAUUGAUAGUUCCCAUCAGGUUUGUUACCGUUAGCAUUUCACAGUCCUCUUCUGCAAUGACCCUCAAGACCAAAGUUUGAGAUGGGAUUAAUAACAGUUCAGAUUUUGCACCAGCUGCAUUAGAGGACUUCAGUUUAACAGGUCAAAUGCUAAUUAAGUCCUUGGACCCAGCAACGUUAGCAGCACAUCUUGCUUGAUGUAAGGAGGAACAGAAUUACCUUAGGCAUUAGAAUGAGUGAUUGAUCCUUAAAGGCUAGAGCAGGGAAAGCUGUUGAGUAGCUGUCAAGAAAAAUGCCAAAAGCCACAAGGUUUGCAGCAGUGUUACAUCCUGGAGUGCCCCAAGGAGCAGAAAUCUCCUCCACGCCUCUAAGAGGAGCCUGAUCCAACAGCACUCCUGAAACAGAGCUGUGAUAUAAACGUAUGAGCUAACCCUCACUUCCAGAGUGUGCUUUUAGCCCAAAUGUGUUCCCUCUUUCUCUCCUUUUCUCCCAGGUACAGCCUGUCCUUUCUCCUGUCUCAUCAGUUCUGCGUUAGGGAGACUCUGGCAUCAGUCAGUCCCAAAAUGCAGAGGCAGAUCUUCGCAGCAGCAAUAUGGGGCACACUCCAAUGUACCCUGAGCGAGUGAUGUGCCGUGUACCAACCCCAGGCGAGGAAGGGGAGACCUCUGCCCUGCUGCAGCAGCCCCCGCUUGUUAGCGAGGAUCUGCUCUACCCCUUCUCCUCCACAUAUGAGAUUUGAUUGAAGGGGAAGCUUGUGUCCUAGUUUUUGCCUCUCAGUUUCUUUUCAGUGUGUGUUUUCUUGCAGGAAAAGCGCAGACCUUUCUGUUCCACUCAGUGAUGCUCCCAGCAGGGGAUGUUACUUCCUCAUGCAGUGACAUUUUUCUUCUGCUUCUAUACUCUAUUGCUCUGGUGCAUCAGCACUAAAAUGUCUUCCCUUCCUUCCUGCCUCCCUGUAAGAAACUCUCCUUUCUAUCACCAUUACUUAUGCUAACCCUGCAUGCUGCCUUUCUCUCCUAUCUUUAUAGCGAAGCUCAGAGCUUGGGGGACCUUUGUGCUACUGCUAAGUGUGAAAAACAUCACACUUAGAGGAGAAAGCACACACAUUGAGUCGCUACUGACAAUCAUAGAAUCACAGAAUGGUUUGGGUUGGGAGGGAUCUUAAAGAUCAUCUUGUUCCUCCCGCCCUGCCAUGGACAGGGAGGCACCACAGGCAGUCCCAAACUCCCAGCGACAGCCCCAGUAACCCACUGCACCACUUCAGUUGCACAUGGGUCAUAAAACAUCCAGAGGAGCCCAGACUCACUAAUGCAUCACAUCAUUGCAGUGAGACCUGUUUGAGGUUCCCAGUGGGUGCUGCCCCUUUGCAGUGGGGUGAAUUUAAGCUAAAAUACCAAGUUGCACAUAAUUUCUGGACCUGUUUCUUAGCAUUGCUGGUACCCACUGACAUUAAAUGCUCCUGGUACUUACCUCCUUCUAUUGCAUUUUUCAUCAUUCAGUCUCAAAGGAUUUAAAAAGGGGGGGCACUGUCUUUAAGCCCCUUCCACAGAGAUGGAGCUAAGAGAAGAAGGAGAAUUAGGAAAGAAAGGAAUCUUGAGAGUCUCAAGCCCUGCCCAUUAGGAAACACUUCCAUCUGUUUUACAGGGAAUCAGCCAUAGAUACUGAACCAGAUAAGCUGUUCUGAUUUCUUUUGUCAGUGCUGGCAGAUUUACAGUACUUUGCUGGCACAUGGCUUGGGAAUUACAGGCAGAUCCUCUCCAACAUAGUGGGAACAGGAGCAUCACAUGCUACAUACUCCUGUCUAGAGGCUGUUGGCAAACCACAACUUGUAGUCAAUCAAGGCAGGAUUUUAUAACCACUUCUACCCCACCCCUUCUCACAUCCCUUAUUUUCAUCCCUGCUCUUCAAAGCAGGAUGAUUCACAUGUUAUAGUAACCUACAUUUGGCUUGGCACCACUUAGGGGCUAUAUAUAGAUGACAGAGUCACCCUGUUCUUCUUCGUUGAUUCAUUUUAGGGUGUUCUUUCAGGCAGGGAGCAGGGAGCAGCCCCAUGGGCUCAGAGAGGAGGUGGGAGGUUAAAAGUGACAUCCAGCACCAUGGUUUUUAUCUGGGUCUGGUCCAGGGCUGCUAAGGUCGGGUGGGUGCCUUUGGUGGCUGUGGUAGAGGUCUGCAGAUUAGAAAACCCCCAGAGCUCUCCUUCCAGCAGUUGAGUUGUCUCAAAUUGAGAGCCUAAAAAUAAAGGCAGAUGAAAUUGCGGUCAUUCCACAAUAGAUCCUGAGCAAUCUGUUCCCGUCAGCGGAUGUUGGUGGCUUGCACAUUGCUUUGUGGGUGUUAAUGGCUCUGCUGUCAGUUUUUGCACCUCUAGAACCAAACUAUCCACAAAAGUCUGUGUUUUCUAAAGCAAACUGGCUCAGUUCCUUCUUUCCUCUGAAGCUGCAGGGAGCCUGCUUUGUUCCAGUGACUUCCCACUGGGAAAUACAGACCUGUGUGCUUCAUGCCCUGUUGGAAAAUGACCCACUGACAGCACCACAGAGGCAAAGAGCCCAGCUGAUCUCCCCCUUUCCUCACCCCCCCUCAAGAAACAGCCCUGCUGCUCAUCCCUCACUGUGCAGGGAGAUGGCAGCUGUGCUGCUAAAACAGCUUUGUUGGAGCAUCAGCCAAGGGCCUGCCUGGAUCCUGGACAUCACUUAUCAGCAGCCUCUCCCAUACAUCCUGACAAAGGCUCAGGUGUUUCCCGGCCCCUCCGCCUGCUCAGUGGUCGAUACAGCAUUGCAGGGAGGGUCUUGAUGAAAAAUCUAUUGAUAAAAGUGAUGCUUCACUAAUGGCAAGCACAGCACCCGCCAAGAUCUUCAAGGGGAAUUCAACCUCUGGCUUUUAGCUGAGUUGUAUUCAUUUCAGAGAUGGGGAAAAGACAGGAUGAGUUACAGAGGAGAUUUAAGUCAGAUAUAAGGCAGAAGUUGUUCCCUGUGAGGGUGCUGAGGCGCUGGCACAGGGUGCCC